rnacentral:misc_RNA from 1 species
GGCAAAUCUCUUCGUUUUGAUCCUAUCUCUGUCACUGAAAUAUAUAAAUCGGAGCCUUGGGACCUUCCUGGAAAGUCGAAGCUGAAGACUAGGGACUUGGAGUGGUACUUUUUCAGUCCUUUGGAUAAGAAGUAUGGUAACAGUUCGAGGACGAACAGAGCUACUGAGAAUGGGUACUGGAAGACGACUGGGAAGGAUCGGCCGGUACGACAUAACUCCCGAGUGGUUGGAAUGAAGAAGACUCUUGUUUACCACAGUGGGCGGGCGCCUCGCGGGACUCGCAGCAAUUGGGUGAUGCAUGAAUACAGACUUACAGAUGAGGACUUGGAGAAAGCUGGGGUUGUGCAGGAUGCCUAUGUGCUUUGUAGGAUAUUUCAAAAGAGUGGUUCAGGUCCUAAGAAUGGAGAGCAAUACGGAGCUCCAUUUAUCGAAGAAGAGUGGGAGGAUGAUAAAGAGUUAACUCUGCCUGGCGAGGAGGUUGUGGCCAAUGAAGGGUUAGUUGAUGUAGACGACGAUAUGCAUUUUGAAUUGGAUGAUAUUGCUCAGUUUUUUGAUGGAGAACUUCCAAGUGAAUAUGCUCAACCUUUGUCGAACUAUCCUCAAGACACUAGCAAUCAUGUUGAGCUACCCAAUGUUGAAAAUGAUAACAAACCAGAAGUAUUUGCAGGCAAUACAUUUGAGCUACCACAAAGCCACGAUUUCUUUCAUUUACCAGAUCAAUAUGGAAUGGGUGGGAAUUCUGAAAAGGACGAGUGUUUUGCCGAAUCAAGUGGUAAUUUUGCCGAAUCAAGUGACAAUUUUAAGCAGGAGGAUAUUGAUUACUUACUCGAGGAGCCUUACCCAAGUGUUCCAGAUGAUCUUGCCCUCAAUGAGGAAUUAUUCCUGGAGGCAAAUGAUCUUUCAAAUCCAGUUGAUUCUGAUCCAACUGGUUUAGACGUGCUUGAAGAGUAUCUUACAUUCUUUGAUGCAGAUGAUGACAACUUACAGCUGGCUUUUGACCCGUCAGAUGUUUUGGGUAUUGAAGAACCUACUUCUGGCCGAGCAAUUCUUGAAGAGAAAGUGAAUGGGGUAGCAGAAGAAGAGUUCAUGGCUACUAAACAAUCGUCCAUGGCUUCCACAAAUGAUGCAUCUACUUCAAAUAAAAACCCUGAGGCUAUUGAAACAGGUUCAGAUUCAAAAUCAUCAUUCUUGAAACGUGCCAGUUACCUGUUAGGAAACAUCCCUGCCCCUCCUGCAUUUGCUUCUGAGUAUCCAUCAAAAGACAUGGC